AUGAUGCCAAGGAAGUAAGUAAAAGCCCGUUCCUUUGUAAACCAUCAGUUCUAUUGUUAACGCCAAGUUAUCAGUGACCAAUUGCUAGGAUAAGGACAAGGACAAGUCAGUAAUACUUCGAACUUUUUCUCCAACCUCUUGUGGAGACUCAAGAUACAUGCAGAAUAACAAAAUUUUGUAUAACUUGGGGAAGUUGGUCCUACCACCUGCUUUAUUAGUUGCCACCUAUUGGGGUCAACUAUACCCCAAUUCCGCCAGGAUAUGUAGUCAGUGUUUACACUGGGUUCACAUUCUAGAGUCAAAAAUAACCAAAAGCAAAGUUAUGAUGCAGAAGGAAAACAUUGUUCCUUUUUUGGCUAGUGAAUGAUGUCAUAUUUGGAUUUUGAUUUGUUUUGAGGCAGAAUAUAGAGUCAAGAUUUGAAAUGUGGGGCUAGACCCCAUUUAAGAAAUUCAGAUUUUAGGUACAUUAAGGAUGGUAGCUAAAGUCAUCUCCAAGUAUAGAGAAGAGGAAGAACUGAGAAACACUUAAUGACAAACGGAGUUUCACUCUUCUUGCCUGGGCUGGAGUGCAAUGGCGCGAUCUCCGGCUCACCGCAACCUCCGCCUCCUGGGUUCAAGCAAUUCUCCUGCCUCAGCCUCCUGAGCAGGUGGGAUUACAGGCUACCACACCCAGCUAAUUUUGUAUUUUUAGUAGAGACGGGGUUUCUCCAUGUUGGGUCAGGGUGGUCUCGAACUCCCAACCUCAGGUGAUCUGCCCCCCUCGGCCUCCCAAAGUGCUGGGGGAUUACAGGUGUGAGCCACCAUGCGCGGCCGCCCAUUUCCUAAUUAAAUUUUUGCAGUAGGAUCAUAGCUCUCGGAAAAUAGCAUAAAUUUUAUCUUAAUCUCUAGUGCCAGAAACUGCCUGGGCGUAAACACUAGCUUGAACAUCUGAACUAGAAGAUAGCAUAGUAUUGGAAUUAGAAACUUAAAUUCUAUUUAGGUGAAAGGAUGUUUCCUCAAAUUAUGAACAAACUUUAAUGUGUUUGAAACGGGGUAUUUUUAUUUUUUAAAUGUAUGCUGUUAAUACAUACUUUGGGAAAAGGAACUAUAUGUACUUAAGGCUGUGCUUCAGUCUUAGCUUUUGGCUUCCAGAGAAGGGCUAAGAAAACUUCCAAGGGUUAAAUAAUGUGUUCAGGUUUCAGUCAUAGGAUCUCAGUCGCAACUAUUUAACUCUGUUGUUUUAACCCAACAGCAGCCAGAUGAAUGAGUUGGGGCCCUAUUCCAAUAAAAGAUUAUUUUGGGGCAUUGGAAUUUGGAUUUUGUGUGUUUCUUCACUUGUCAUGAAAUACUGUUUUUCCCCCUAGUUAUUUAAAUUUUUAGCUUAUGGGUUAUACAGAAACAGCCAGCUGGCCAGAUUUGACCUACAGGCUAUAGUUUGCCAAUUGUGUGCUGCUUUGGAGCUGGAAAUACUGUCAGGAUCAUAGUUAGGUAAAAUAAUUGUUUCAAGUUUUUAUGAGUAGCUUUUACAAAUGAACAUUUAGUAGAGGGAACAACACAUUUGUAAGUUGUAGACCUUACGUUCUGGCUAACAUUAAGAUAACUUAAUGCACCUAACUGAAAUGUCCAGUGGGAUCUUACUCAUAGCCACAGGAUAAUUAGUGGCUUUGUUCAGGAUGUAUGUAACAAUUUAUUUACCUUUUGAAGGCUAAAGAACGUGCCAAUGGAAUGGAGCUUGAUGGGCGUAGGAUCAGAGUUGAUUUCUCUAUAACAAAAAGACCACAUACGCCAACACCAGGAAUUUACAUGGGGAGACCUACCUAUGGCAGCUCUCGCCGUCGGGAUUACUAUGACAGAGGAUAUGAUCGGGGCUAUGAUGAUCGGGACUACUAUAGCAGAUCAUACAGAGGAGGAGGUGGAGGAGGAGGAGGAUGGAGAGCUGCCCAAGACAGGGAUCAGAUUUAUAGAAGGCGGUCACCUUCUCCUUACUAUAGUCGUGGAGGAUACAGAUCACGUUCCAGAUCUCGAUCAUACUCACCUCGUCGCUAUUAAAGCAUGAAGACUUUCUGAAACCUGCCCUAGAGCUGGGAUAUUGUUUGUGGGCAAUAUUUUUUAUUGUCUCUUGUUUAAAAAGUGAACAGUGCCUAGUGAAGUUAGGUGACUUUUACACCUUUUACGAUGACUACUUUUGGUGGAGUUGAAAUGCUGUUUUCAUUCUGCAUUUGUGUAGUUUGGUGCUUUGUUCCAAGUUAAGUGUUUUCAGAAAAGUAUGUUUUGCAUGUAUUUUUUUACAGUCUAAAUUUUGACUGCUGAGAAGUUUCUAUUGUACAAAACUUCAUUUAAAAGGUUUUUCUACUGAAUCCAGGGUAUUCUGAAGAUCGAAGCCUGUGUAAAAUGCUACCAAAUGGCAAAAAGCAACAAUAAACAGUUUGAUUUUU
rnacentral:lncRNA from 1 species